UUCGAAAACUUUCGUCGUAUUUGAACGCUGGUCACCAGAACAAGAGAAUUUACCAUAGAAGGAGAAGUUAUCAAUCAGAAUUAAAUGGCGGAUAUCAGCUCCAAGAAAGCAAGCAUCCGAUCCCAGACGCUCAUGCAAGACAUAAACAACAAGAAGACAUAUUUCGUCUCUGAAAUCUUCUGAUAUAAUAUAGAAAUGAUUAUAUAAUAAUUGAUCCGGAUGGAGUCAAUAUUUACAAGUGAAUCGACACGAAGAACUUUGUUUUACUACAUAUUGGAGAUGGUGCUGUUUAUGACAAUUACUUUUCCUAUCAGGAUCAGUAACAUGAACGAAUAGCACAACAACGCCAUCACCAUAACGCCAACGACAAAAUCAAAUACAUGAAUACAAACAUGUUUUGUAUUGUAACUUUUCUACAUUAAUCUUAUCAGAUGAGAAUUAUUUUUCCAAUUCUUACGAACUACCAUGACUACGUGUCAUUAGAAUAUACUGACAGAUAAACUUUACAAGUACAUUACAUUGUAUGUCUGUUUUCCUUCGAAGUAUAAGCGAAGAAUACCGCACGGUACGGUAUGCAUGAAAGA